UUGUAUUAACCAAAAUACUCAAGCUGUGCAAACCCCACCUUCACAGCUUGUAUUUUCAGUCAUAGACCAGGAGGCAGAGCCCUCCACCUUGCCUAGGCCAGUUCCGCAGCAUAAUUCUACUGCUGACCUGUCAACAUCUCAUAUACAAGAUGUGCAGACCCCACCUUCACAGCAUGUAUCUUCAGUCAUAGACCAGGAGGCAGAGCCCUCCACCUUGCCUAGGCCAGUUCCGCAGCAUAGUUCUACUGUUGACCCAUCAACAUCUCAUCAGGCAUCUCCAUCAUGCAAUCCUCCGCUACCGGGAUCUCAAGAUCAACAAUCUGCUGCAGCACCAGCAGAAGUUGCAGAAGCGGCAAAACCAC
rnacentral:lncRNA from 1 species